rnacentral:lncRNA from 1 species
UUUCAUAAAAUUUUUUGAAAUAAUAGUACGGAAUAAAAAUACAAGCCCGACAUCGAGGUGUCACUAGUCAUAAGCAUUUACCAAGGUCUGAAUAUAACAAGAAGCCUAAAAUAAAGUACUAAAUACAGUAAUAGCAAUGUGAGAAAAGGACCGGUGCUACGAACGUCAUGCAACCACCUACUAACUUUGAUGACUCCGCGUCUGAGCAAAUCAACACCCGCUAUCGGGUUCCGAUAUACCUGCAUCUGCACAGGAGGUGCAGGGAGUAACGUGAGUACUCCAACCCAGUAAGUAAUAAAAAUAAAUAAAGACUGAGUAGUAGAAAACAACGAAGCCACAUUCACAUUAGGCUCAGUAAACACAAAAUGCUUUCAAGUCACAAUACGAGUCAACCCUCCCUUUUAAAAUCCAGCUUUUAGCAAAAAUUAUUUUAAAAUACUUUCCAGCAGUUUCAGUAGGGGUUCAAUGCCACUUAAAAUAAUAAUAGAGAUUAAAGCCAUAACUGACCCCUCGGGCAAAACAUAGUUCGUAAAACAGUCAAUCGGGAAAAAUAAUAAUCAUAAACACCUCAUAAAUUGAAGUCUCGGUGGAAAUAGCCAAAUACCAAGUCAAUGAUUAAUUUCUGAACGUCUCUUAAACCACAGUUUAAAUAAUAGUUGUUUUAAAACUUUUCUUCAACUUUUCGACUGAGGCUCAAUAUGAAGAUUGAGUAAAAAAACAGUCAAUAGAUCAGCAUAUUCGAUAAAAACUCGCGCUUAGGAGGAAUGAAAUCAAUACGUUCAUAAAAAUGUCUUUCAGGCAAAAUGUCUUUGGGCUAACCUCUCUGUCCCUCGUAACUCAUCUCUUACCAAACUUUACUCGCACUCAGCGUUCAUGCUCAAUGGGUAUCAUAUAGUAAACGUUGCGGCGUGCAGCCAGAUCUAUAUAUAUUUCAUAUAUUUCGUCGACGACGCUCACUUGCAAAAUCCGGGAGGGGCCCCUUAUAGACCAAGCGCAAUAUUGUGUGGCGUGCAGCCCGAUCCAACAUAUCGCUGCGGUGUGCAGCCCGAUCCAUAUAAGUAUCGUUGCAGCGUGCAACCCGAUCCGUAUACUUAUAUUUAUAUAUUGUUGCGGGCUGCCCGAUCCAUGGUUAUAUAAUCCUCACAACUAGGCCUUCGGCCUCUCUCAAUCCUUAACCUCACCAUCAGACUCUCAGUCUAUCUCACUAAAAUAGGGAACUCAGCCCAAAAUAGUUUUCACACUUUAAGAAUAGUACUAUAAAGCCAAAUUUGAGUAGUAACAGGUAGAAACAUGAUCGAGGAUAUGGUUUCAAACAAAUAGAGUGAGGAAAGAUAGUAUAAAUGCCCCUAUGGGUCUCAACAAGUCGGCACAAGGCCCCAAACAUGGCGUACAACCCAAAAUAUAGUAACAUCAAACAAUUAACUAUCAAUUUCGCAUGAAAAUAAUCGUUCGGGAUGGACUAGGUCACGAUACCCAGUGGUGCUCUACCCCACGCUCGUCAUCUAGCGUGUAAGUCACCUCAAAGUAACACAACGAUGUGUAAUCUGGGGUUUCAAACCCAUAGGACAACAUUUACAAUCAUUACUUACGUCGAGCCUCAAUUAUAGCUUUACCCCUUGAUUCCGCCACAAAUCCACUCUAACCUAGUCAGAGAUUACUUAAAUACAUCAACAAAUGCUAAAUGCUCAAUUUGAAUGCAUAAAAAUAAAUUUUCAAAGUUUACCCAAAAAGUCCAAAAAUGCCCCCGGGCCCGUGUGGUCAAAACCCGAGGUUCGAACCAAAACCUGGUUACCCAUUUCCCCACUUAUCCAAAUAUAUGAUUUGUUUUGAAAUCGGACCUCAAAUUGAGGUCUAAAUCCCCAAUUUUAGAAAAACCUAGGUUCAACCCAAAAACCCCAAUUUCACCCAUGAAAAUCCUUGAUUUUAAGUUGAAAACAUGUUAAAUGAUGUUAUUGAUUGAAAAAAUUGAGUAAAAUCGACUUACAAAUGAUUUGGAAUGAAACUUGUUCUUGAAAAAUCGCCUAUGGAGUUUGGGUUUUGAAAGAAUGGUAAAAAAUGGUGAAAAUUCGACUAAGUAUAAAAUUUGCUAAGCCUCAGAUAUGGAAAUUGUGAGCUAGGAUUUGCAAUUGCGAACCCCGACCAUUUGUGAAAAUUGCAAAGCUGGGUUAGCAUUGUGCACCCUUAUAAUUUUUCCAGUUCUCGCAUUUGCGAAAGGAAAGUCGCAUUUGCGACCACCCUACUUUCGCAUUUGCGAGGUCUGAGAUCGCAUCAGCGAUCAGUGUAAAAAAUCCCCUAGUUCGCAUUUGCGAGCAAUGGGAUCGUAUCUGCGAUUAUAGGCCCAAGUCCUAGGCUUCACAAUUGCGACGAAUGUCUUGCAUUUGCGAGGCACAUCUUCGCAAAUGCGAAGAUCACAGAAGAAAACAUGCCACAUUUUACAAAAUUCAAAAAUGCAAUCCAACACCUAUCCAAAACUCACCUGAGCCCUCGGGACUCCAAACCAACUAUGCACACAACCUCAAAAAUAUCCUACGGACUUAUCCGUGCGAUCAAAUUGCCAAAAUAACAUCACAUACAUAGAAUCAAACCUCAAAACUCAUGAUUUCUUCCAAAUUUUCAUAAAAUAUCAAAUUUCCAUUUUAAGUCCGAAACACGUCAAACGACAUCCGUUUUCAACUAAACUUAGCGCUUAAACCAUAUAUACGACUUGUACCGGGCAUCAGAACCAAAAUACGGUCCUGAUGCCAUGGUCUUUUAAUCAAAUUUCAGUUCCAAUUUCCUUAAUUAUUUUCAGAAAAUAAUUUCACACAAAAAUUCAUUUCUCGGGCUUGAGACCUCGGAAUUCGAUCUCGGGCAUUCUCCCAAGUCCAAUAUUUUCCUAUGGACCCUCUGGGACCUUCAAAUUAUGGGCUCGGGUCCGUUUACCCAAAAUAUUUUUUGAAGUCAAAUUUAUUCAAUUAACUAUCAAAAUUUAGCAUUUUUCUCACAGAAUUCAUAUUUAAGCUUUCUGGCUACGCGUCCGGAUUGAGCACGCAAAUCAAGGCAACCCUAAGUGAGGUUUCCAAGGCCUAAAAAACACAGAAUGAGUAAGGAAAUAAGUGAUGACCCUUUGCGUUGUCACACCUUUCAAAUUUUUAGUUUUAAACUGAGAACUUUUCUUCCAAAUUUAUUUUAAUUAACCUGAAACCAAAACCAACGAGCUGUAUAGGUAGUAAUACACCACAUGGGCGAAAUCAUGCCCGAGAACUGGCGAUCAAAGUGAAAAAGGUCAAAACGAUCGGUCGAGUCGUUACAUCCUCCCCCACUUAAAUACACGUUCGUCCUCGAACGUACCCAGAGUUGUUCUAGAAGACAGCCAAUGGCUGAAUAACUUUAUUAUGCAUAUACCCGGGGUUGAUCCCACGUCACCCUAUCUCAUAUAUGUCCGCAAUCCAAUCUAACUUGUAAACCAUAGAACCACAUGUCCACUUAUGAAACCAUCAACACGAUUAAAACCCCACACCUAUACUCUGAAUAUGCCUAACUAGCUGUAAUAACCCAUGCCUGCAACCUCAGGUACAAUUAUAUGAUAUACCACAUAACUCAGACACACAAAGUGAUAAUUUGCAUUCACAACAGCUGCACAAAUCAACCGAAUACCGAUAGAAAACCUCUUUACAACUAAAUUCCCAUUCCAACACUUCCAUAUACUGCCAAUGAUAAAUUGAAACACGAAGUAAAUCAUAACCAUUUCUCAGAUCAUCCAUUUAUAAGGCUACUUCUCCUUUGUCAAGGACCAUAGCAAUUUCUGAACCGAACCUUGAUAUUUAUCCAUCAAACAUGCUGAAACUGGAUCCGUUUGUAUUCAUUACAGGCCCCAACAAUCUAAUAUGAUCCAAUACCGCCACUUUGGUGACAUGACACAUCAAUACAGGCCAAAAUCACAACUUGCACAGUCCGCGCACCAAUAAGCAGCAAUCUGAAUAUACUACAUCAUGAACUUGGCUCAAAUAAAAGAGUUGUACCUCAAGCUCACCAGUACCAUCACAAAACAUGGCCGAGAACUUGUCUCGCAUCAUAGAAGUUGAACACACUAAUCUAACUCGUAAGGUCAUAUUUCCACAUUACUUCGCUACCAUGUACAACACUGCUCCACAUGGAACACCUCAAUAUAUGUUUUAACCUAUGGUAAGACUUUAACCUUAUUAAUCACUUUUAAUUAAUUUUAAGAAGAUUUCAACAUCAUCUAAAAUACGUCUUUGGACCAUGCCACAUAAAAUGCACCCGCAAUCCGAGACAUAUUUUAUUUAACAUUGUGAGAUUUGGAUCUGAGUCACAUGAAAUACACAACUGAGUUUAAGAAGGUGAUGUUAGUAAAAUAACGGGCCUAAAGUAACUACGCGUUUUUAGCUUUGCUAGGGCCAUGGAAAUUUACUAAUGGCACGCCUCUAAUUCUAAGGAUUUAAGAGAAAUAGUCAAAUGAGGGCCACGCAUUUGGGGUCAUAUUUGGCGUGGCGCACCUCGAUUCCAUUUUAAGAGGGAAUUUAAACUUAACUUUGGAGGGCCAUAAGCUAUUUAUGUCGUCUAAUAUGGUUCACCUCCAUUAAUUAAAGAGCUUAACUAAUUGACUAGAAGCAUAGAGAAUUUUUUAAAACAAAAAUUAUUUCAGUGCACGUUUUGUAUUAUAACUUAAAGGAAUCAUGACGUAUAAGGAUAACCCAAUUACUUGAAACUGAUUUGGGCUCACGACUCGACAUCAGUGAGUUCGCUUGAAGCAGAACCACGUACAGUCCAAAUAGGCCAUUAUCCUAUUUCCAAGUGCAUUCAGAAUCUGGGCCCAAAUUGAUCCUAAACUCCACGGGUGGAUAAAUACCCAAACAUACAGACCUAGUAUCGAAUCCCUGCAUCAAACUCAUCACAAACGAAUCAGCCUAGCUUGAGUAAAGCUCCAGUAAUAAAUCAACAUAUGAUAAGAUAAAUACAAGAUUCUAAAACUUUAACAUCCCAAUAACAGGCUGUAUGUCCAUUUGAAAUAUCCUACCGAUAAUAGACACCUGGUAUUCAAAAUUACUAAUUAAUCAUUCUCAUAUCACACACAAUACUUAACCAGCUUAAUUUUACAAUGAUUAUCGAACAUGUAAUCCCCUUCUUGAAUUAUAAUCCUCGAAACGAUGCAAUGUAAUCAUGCCAUAUAUUAGUGAUGAAGUGAAAUUCAAACAUUAACUUAAGCAAAUAUAAACCAAACCAGCAUGAUAUUCCCUAACUGGCAUAGGCCUGCACUACAGAAACAUUCAGAUCCUUUAAAUGUUCAAAUACAAAAUCCUUCAGAUCAAUCAAAGAAACAACAUGGUGAGUUAAAAAAUCCUAAAACAUCUUUGAAGAUAAAAUAUAAGGAUAUCAACAUGGUUGAGUGGUGAAAUUAACACAUAAAUAAGGAAAACCUCCAACGAACAUAAAUUGAUAUUCAACAAAACUGAGGUUCAUCUCAAAUCUUUUAACUCAGUUACAUGUUUUCAGAUUUGCACUUCAUAUGUCACUUAAAAGUUAAGGAAAUACCUGGAAUUCAAAAUAAAACGGAAAAUGGUGGUUCAGCAAAUGCAACAACAGCAACAAUAUAGCAAGAUUCAACACCAAUAGCCCAUUUCAACACAAAAAAAUGAAGUAGGCCAAACAAACUCCCAAUUGAGCAAUAACCCAUAGAUAACUUCAGAACCAAACUUUUAAAACCAAACUCAAUUCAUUUUUAACCCUAGAUGAAUAAGAAAAGGUUUUCAGAAUUGGAAAACUUCAGAAAAUCACCAAGAAGAAUUUAAUAGAAUAGUAUCUUUGUGAAAUUUUUAGAUGCCUUGAUUUUUUCUGAAUUUUUAUACCUUUUUCAGUCUCUAAAAUCUGAGUGGAGCUUCCCCUAG